rnacentral:tRNA from 1 species
GCGGGGGUAGCAAAGCCUGGUCAAAUGCGCAGGACUUAAGAUCCUGUCCCUUAGUGGGUUCGUGGGUUCAAAUCCCGCCCCCCGCA